UACGUAGGUCGCAAGCGUUAUCCGGAAUUAUUGGGCGUAAAGAGCGCGUAGGCGGUUUGUCGCGUCUGCCGUGAAAGCCCGGGGCUCAACUCCGGAUCUGCGGGGGGUACGGGCAGGCUAGAGUGCUGUAGGGGAGACUGGAAUUCCUGGUGUAGCGGUGAAAUGCGCAGAUAUCCGGAGGAACACCGAUGGCGAAGGCAGGUCUCUGGGCAUUAACUGACGCUGAGGAGCGAAAGCAUGGGGAGCGAACAGG
rnacentral:misc_RNA from 1 species